rnacentral:rRNA from 1 species
CCUAGCGGCUGCAGUGGGGAAUUGUUCGCAAUGGGCGCAAGCCUGACGACGCAACGCCGCGUGGAGGAUGAAGGUCUUCGGAUCGUAAACUCCUGUUGAUCGGGACGAAAAGCUCCAACCCAAUACGUUGGAGACUGACGGUACCGGUUGAGGAAGCCACGGCUAACUCUGUGCCAGCAGCCGCGGUAAUACAGAGGUGGCAAGCGUUGUUCGGAAUUACUGGGCGUAGAGGGCGCGUAGGCUGGGAACUGAAAGCCCCAGGCUUAACCUGGGAACUGCGUCCGAUACUGGGAGGCUUGGAUUCGGGAGAGGGAUGCGGAAUUCCAGGUGUAGCGGUGAAAUGCGUAGAUAUCUGGAGGAACACCGGUGGCGAAGGCGGCAUCCUGGACCGAGAUCGACGCUGAGGCGCGAAAGCUAGGGGAGCAAACGGGAUUAGAUACCCUUGUAGUC